GGCGGCUUACACAUGCAAGUCGAACGCUCCGCAAGGAGAGUGGCAGACGGGUGAGUAACGCGUGGGAAUCUACCUAGUUCUACGGAACAACAGUUGGAAACGACUGCUAAUACCGUAUACGCCCUACGGGGGAAAGAUUUAUCGGAAUUAGAUGACCCCGCGUAAGAUUAGCUAGUUGGUGGGGUAAUGGCCUACCAAGGCGACGAUCUUUAGCUGGUCUGAGAGGAUGAUCAGCCACACUGGGACUGAGACACGGCCCAAACUCCUACGGGAGGCAGCAGUGGGGAAUAUUGGACAAUGGGCGCAAGCCUGAUCCAGCCAUGCCGCGUGAGUGAUGAAGGCCUUAGGGUUGUAAAGCUCUUUCAGUGGGGAAGAUAAUGACGGUACCCACAGAAGAAGCCCCGGCUAACUUCGUGCCAGCAGCCGCGGUAAUACGAAGGGGGCUAGCGUUGUUCGGAUUUACUGGGCGUAAAGCGCACGUAGGCGGAUUGGUAAGUUAGGGGUGAAAUCCUGGAGCUCAACUCCAGAACUGCCUUUAAUACUGCCAGUCUAGAGUCCGGAAGAGGUAAGUGGAACUCCUAGUGUAGAGGUGGAAUUCGUAGAUAUUAGGAAGAACACCAGUGGCGAAGGCGGCUUACUGGUCCGGUACUGACGCUGAGG
rnacentral:rRNA from 1 species